rnacentral:lncRNA from 1 species
UUGAACAAGUUCCUGCGGUCAUCUUUUAGCAUUUACAGGUUGUUCAGAGUUCCUCAUCUCAAGACAUGUGAAAUUUAGAAUACCAUAAUGCCUGGAGAGCAUCCUUGCUAUGGGUCGAUACCCAUCUCUAUUGUUCAAGUUGUAGAAACCUGCAGUUAGCUCUGCAGCAUGACUGUCAUCUUUAUACCUCCAAUGGAUUCCAGAAACCUGUUUUGGGAUGGAAGUAAGAUAUAGUUGAGUCACAUCGGAUGGUAAAAGGCUUUAAUUUUUUGUUAAGUUGGAUAAUACCAUUUUCCGUGAUUUACCUUAGCUGCUAACUUGACUUUACAACCCAGGAAAGCUUUGUUUGCUUCAUCAAGGAUCUGAUCAUCAUGGCCCAGCAACUAGUUAGAGUACCAAGUCAAGAAAAACUUUCCCUUUUCAGUUAAGUACCCUUUCGAUCCAAAGAACUCUGUCGCUCCAGGUGUGUCAUUAUAUUUUCCUUCAUUAUCUGGCAAAGCCCAUUCAGGGUGCCCUUCUAUUGUUGCUGCUUCUUUAAAAUCUGCUUUAAGAUAUUUGUCAUAGCACUGCAAUAUUUGUAUAGCAUAAUUUGUUAAAUUUCCUAUCAAUUAAAGACUAGAAGACAUUCAACUGACCGAGCCAGGGGACAAAUGGUUCAUUGUGUCAUCAAUAUCUGGUCUCACCUGAAAUUCUCCUAUACCAGGAAAUACCCAUCCUUGAGUUUCUGGAUAAGAGGGAUAUCUGAGCUCCCCUGCAGGACCUAGCCCUACUUCAAUAUCUGUCAAGAGCUCAGCUUCCAAAAAGUCCGCCAUGAUCUCUCUAAAGCUCUUCGUGUAGUCACUGUAGAUCUAAAUACAUCAAGAAAUUACCAUUAUCGGUUUCGAAAGCCUUCCUGCAGUGACUGGGUACUGAAAGCAUGGAUUUUGUUUCAAUAUGUUUUACAAUAUGAUAUCACACAGGCAGAAUUUUAGAACAAGAUGUUGGUAUAUACUAUUCAAAGGGGGGGAAAAGGGGUCAAAAUUCUAACCUCCACUGCAGUUCGACCUGCAAAGAGAGGUAGGUUAUCCACACCAAGUGUGAGGUACUCUUCGUCUCUGUUACCUGCCGGAUUAGUGUAGAAGAUGUCAGGAUCCUUUUCUCCAACCUCAAGCACCCACUUGGGAAGCGGGAUGUUAACAAUAUCUCCAAUAUUCCCAUGGCAUUGGUGGAACGACAUAACAAUUGUAAUUUUAAUCCACAUUGUUGAACAAGUUGAAACAAGCUUCUAUAAUCACUCCAAUCAUACUGCUUAGGGCCUUUGGAUUUGACAAGCCCCCACCAAACAUCAACCAUGACCCCAUCGACUCCUGCUGCUCUCAGCUCCUUGAGCUGCUUCUCUAGUCCAGCUUUAUCUUCUAAAACAUUGUCAUUUGAAAUGACUCCCAACUGUUGUCACCAUGUAAAACGAGAAAUGAAGAACAUAAUUUAGAUUAGUACUACACAAGUAUUUGUUUAUGCAUGCUUAUAAAUAGAUCUUUUAGUUACUUACCUGGAGCAUUACAUAGAUGGGCACAUAGUUUGCUAACAUCUUUUCCUCAUCACUGAGUGGAGCUGGAGACUGCAUUUUCUGAAUGCAAAAAAUAAAGCGAUGGAAGUUUUAGUUUUCUAUUUGAGUAUUGACAAUUCUUUUAUAGAUAGUUCAGCAUGGUUUAUGGAAUUCUCAUCUUUACAAGGCAUCAUAGUAAUGUGAUCCAACUGCCAUGUGGUGUCAUCUGUUAACUACUCCCUCCGUCUUAUAGUUAUAGGCUGAUUUCUUUUGGCACAUAGUUUAAGAAAAUCAAUUUAAGUGGCAAUUUUAACAUAAAUUUUCCAUAUAUACCCCUUAAUAUGGAAUUAAUGAAUAAGUUAAUUAUUCCUUAUUUAUCACACUGGAACUUUCAACUUCAUUGAUUGACGUGUUAAAGUCCAUAACCAUAGAACUUUAACCAAAGAGAAUAUAACAACAUUAAAUGUGGUGAUAAAAAUAAUGACAUUGAAUGUUGUUUCUUCAAAAAAAGAGUAAUGGUUGAAUAUUUAUUAUAAGGGCAUAAAAGUAAAACAAUGAACCAACUAAAUUUUAUAAAUAGUAAGUAGCCUAUAUAUUGGGACAUCUCAAAAUGGAAAAUCAGCCUAUAACUAUGGGAUGGAGGGAGUAUAAACCAAAUGAUUUGUGCAGUGACUGUGUGGACAACUUCUGGGUUCUAAUAAGAUCAUGCUCUCAUUUACAUUUUGUCCUUCUAGUAUAGGGUUUCCUACAGAAAGCGUUGUAUCAUUUUAUGGAUAUCCUUAGAUAAAUCCCUCAAAUGAUUUUGGAUAUUCAAAAGAGGGGUGAUAAAUUUUGUGGGGUCUCAGAAUAACAUCAUAUUUAAUGAGUUAAUAGCCUUAAUUAACUAGCUUUAUGAUUAUAUUUAUUAAUGUUUUUACUAAUGAGGACCUGCUCCAACCACACGUCAUAUUGGACUCUCGGUUACUCCAUUAAUCCUGAGUGUGUUUAGUACCCGUCCCACACAUGCUAGACAAUUAUAGAUACAAGGCAGAAGAAUUGUUAUCUGAUCUCCUCACUUGGCUCUCUGGGCCACAUAUUAUGCUAUUGGUAGGAGUAGUAACUAGUAACAAUGAGAAAGACUAGUUACCUCUGGUUCACUGGUAGAAACCUCAGUUACCGUAGCUUGAGGAUUUCUAACCAUUCUGUGGGUGCUGAAUGUGAGACUAGGCCUAAAUUGUGCCGUUGGUGGCUCAAUUUGUCAGUGCUAAUUGGGAAAAUUUAGGAUGGUGCAGUCCAAUCUUUGGUGGCAAGCCACCCAGUUUUUGAGUAAAUGGUGGUGCUUGCCAUGGUGACAGCUUACUAUUGUUACUUUGGAGAAUUGUUAUCGAUGCGUUUGAAUCAAGACGCCAUGGAAAUAUAGAGGAAGGAAGAAGCAGGCAAACACAUGCAAGAUAGAGAGAGAGAGAGAGAAAUCUGUUUUGUUUUUUGUGAUUCUGAUUGUGAUUUUUUUUUUCUGGUUGUAUGCAAUGCAUAUGUAUUUGUGGUUUUGGAGUGAAAAACAAGUGGUUGGUGAUUAUUUCUCAAAUAUGCAAACUUCAAAUAGCAAUAUUGUAUAUGAAUAUUAUUAGUCGUCCUCUUUUUUCCCCUUAAUUCCUUGAACCAUCGUAAUCGGUUCUUUGCUUGGAUGUGUUACUUUCAUGGUAGUUUUACUUUUUCUGUUUUUUGUUUAAUUUUAACGGUGUCUGAAAGAAGAAACUAUAUAAAUGUAGCAAAGGAGACGAGAUGAUCUAAUGUUUAUUGUACUGAGUUACUGACCUUUCAGAUAUAUAUACAAUAAAUGAACACUUAACUGAUGGAAAGAAUGGAGUAGUAUUCUGUAUUCAUCACAUGAGGAAAUAGGCCCAUUGACAUUGAAUUUUGUCGUUUGGGGCAGGCAGCAGUUUUAACUGAAAUAUGUAUGUAUGUAUGUAUAUUCACUUAUAUUCUUCUUGAUGAUAGAAUUCACAAGUAACCACGCACCAACAAGGACCGAAUACAAAUAAAUUAUCCUCUAACUAUGUUUAAUACUCCUGUAGAAUAGAGAUGUGCCCUUAAUUGGCUUCACGUGCCACAUUCUUACCUUCCCUUUUUCCAAACAACAUGUCCGAGACAAAAAAAAAAAUUUCAAGACAAACCAUGUACUACUCCACGAUAUUAACUGAAACUCAUUACAUUAUUCAGUCGUCUAAUUAUACAUACACGACUCCUGAAACCAUGAAACAGCAUACACUUCAACAUAGCAGCACAAAUUCAAAUCCCACAUUCCCAUGGCCAUGGCGACAAAACAUACUCCCACUAGUCUGCCACCUUUAUUAAAUAUAGGUAAAAAAAACUCAAAACAUCGCAUAACAUUACGUGCAUUUAUUUUGGCAUUAUUCGGCUGGCUCAGCACUGAAACGUGUACAUACAUACAUAUAUAUAUAUAUAUAUAUAUAAGUGAUGUUCAUCUGAUCAAGCAGAUUGUUCGGGUGGAUCAAGAACUUUCAUGUCUGUUUCUUCAUCAAAUGGGAAUGGCUUGAUGGGUUCAGAUGCUUCCAAAAGCUCCUCAAUCGGUAUCUUUGGUUUUGACCGUGCCAAAGGGACGACCUUGCUAUACAGAUUCGGAUCUGGACAGUAAUUCUGGAAGACAAUAUAUGUAUACUGUCGUAAGAUUUAUUAUUUGAAAGCGGGUCUUAGAAUAUCCUUCCACCACCAACAAUUAUGGAGUAUUUACAUUAAGGUUUCGUACCUGAUCAGCAUGCAGUUUUUUCACAAAUAUUUUGAAGAUCUUGAAAUUAUCUUCUUCUAAUAGAUCAUCUGAUAAACGAAGGUACGUCAAACCUGCCAUCUUUAGUAUUUGUGGGCGUCUGUUCACACCAUUUGGCCUAACAUUUAGAAGGAUUUGAUUGUAGGAUGUGCUAUCAUAUCUUGAGAGUGCAUUUUCACCGGCAACUUCGAUAUUCUCUGUCCAGCCAUCGCUCAACACCUAUACAUACAUAAUAUACAUGUCAACAACAUCAUCAGCCACCCCUGUUUUAAAUUUAAUUCUGUAUUUUUGUUAUUCUAUAGAUAAAUGAAAUUUAAUGAUUAUGCAAAGAUCUUUUCUAGUACAGAACAACUUUCCAGGCUACACUAGGGUGUUCCCCUAGUAUUUAACGAUUUUCUUCUUUUUAGGCAAGUGUUCUGUUUUAUAUUUUCUAGCAUAACCUGUUGAACAAGUUCCUGAGGUGCACUUUUAGCAUUUUCAGGUUGUUCGGAGUCCCUCAUCUCAAGACAUGUGAAAUUUAAAACGCCAUAGUGCCUGGAGAGCAUCCUUGCUAUGGGUCGAUAUCCAUCUCUAUCGUUCAAGUUGUAGAAUCCUGCAGUUAGCUCUGCAGCAUGACUCUCAUCUUUGUACCACCAAUGAAUUCCGGAAACCUGUUUCAGAAUAAAAGUAGCAAGUAUGUUUUUUUUAGUCCUAUUGGCAGGUAAAGGCUUUGGUUUUUAAUUUGUUAAUUUAAAUAAUUGUCAUCUAUGUUCUAUGAUUUUUACCUUGGCUGCUAACUUGACUUUAUAACCGAAGAAAGCAUUGUUGGCUUCCUCAAGGAUCUGAUCGCCAUGGCUCAGCAACUUGUUAGAAUACCAAGUCAAGAAAAACUUUCCCUUUUCAGUUAAGUACCCUUUGGAUCCAAAGAACUCUGUCUGUUCAGGUGUGUCAUUGUAUUUUCCCGCAUUAUCUGGCAAAUCCCAUUCAGGGUGCCCAGCCUUUGUCGCUGCUUCUUUGAAAUCUGCUUUAAGAUAUUU